UAAGGAAUAUUGGUCAAUGGACGCAAGUCUGAACCAGCCAUGCCGCGUGAAGGAUGAAGGUCCUCUGGGUUGUAAACUCCUUUUAUCUGGGAAGAAAUGUACUUUUUCUUGAGUACUUGACGGUACCAGAGGAAUAAGCACCGGCUAACUCCGUGCCAGCAGCCGCGGUAAUACGGAGGGUGCAAGCGUUAUCCGGAUUCACUGGGUUUAAAGGGUGCGUAGGUGGGCAGGUAAGUCAGUGGUGAAAUCUCCGGGCUUAACCCGGAAACUGCCGUUGAUACUAUCUGUCUCGAAUAUUGUGGAGGUAAGCGGAAUAUGUCAUGUAGCGGUGAAAUGCUUAGAUAUGACAUAGAACACCAAUUGCGAAGGCAGCUUACUACACAAUCAUUGACGCUGAGGCACGAAAGCGUGGGGAUCAAACA
rnacentral:rRNA from 1 species